rnacentral:rRNA from 1 species
UCCAUCCGGUAGCAAUACCGGGGAAGACCGUAGCGGCAACGGGUGAGUAACACGUGAGAAACCUGCCCCGAAGUCUGGGAUAACCCGAGGAAACUCGAGCUAAUACCGGAUGUCUUCUUCUGAUCGCAUGGUCGGAUGGAAGAAAGAUUUAUCGCUUCGGGAGGGUCUCGCGGCCUAUCAGCUAGUUGCGGGGUAACGGCCCACCAAGGCGUCGACGGGUAGCUGGUCUGAGAGGACGAUCAGCCACACUGGGGACUGAGACACGGCCCAGACUCCUACGGGGAGGCAGCAGUGGGGAAUAUUGCGCAAUGGGCGAAAGCCUGACGCAGCAACGCCGCGUGCGGGAUGAAGGCCUUCGGGUUGUAAACCGCUUUCAGUGGGGACGAAUUCAGACGGUACCCACAGAAGAAGCCCCGGCCAACUACGUG